UAUACAGCUAUUUCAAUUAAGGUUGUCCACGAGCAAAGCGGAAAAGUCUGCUGCGGGGAAUCGCCUUGAAAAUUCAUUAAUUUGUUAGCGAUUCCCAGCAGCCUUUCGCGCUCGUAUUCGACUUUUCCGCUUUGCUCGUGGACAACCUUAA
rnacentral:miRNA from 1 species